UCUCAAACAAAAUUUUCACUUGUGCUUUUCAUUUUACGGUAAUCAUAUUUCAAAAUCCUAACCUCGAAUUCGUAACUUCACCUCUUCUAAUGUAUGUGUGCUGCCUCUAUCUCUCUCUCUGAGCACAUUCAAAGAAAAUGAAACCUCAAAUAUCGAUCUCUAUCAUCGUCGAUAUCAAGCAUAGCCCAUUUCUGGCCCCCAAUUGAACAUCCAUAAUCACUCUCAAGAAAAUGGAAGAAUGGUAAGUAUGAAAUUGUGGAAGAAUUUGGAGAGAUGGCAAGAAGUCCAGAUCUAGUGACAUGGAUUAUGAGGAGGAUGAACUGUUGUCACAUAGUGAUCCUGAAGGAAAGAAGAAGAAGAAGAAGAAUAAACAAAAGAAGGAUCUCUAAGAGUUACCAAUCGAGAAAAAGAGGGAAAUGACACUUACAACACGCCAGCGGGCCCUUCUAAGCAAGGAUGCCUCUUCUGCAUCCGGGAAAAGUCAAAUUGAGUUCCCAAAUGGUUUACCCCCACUACCGUCUCGAAGCGAGUAUCUUUAUUUCAUUUUUCUGAUUUUUUGUUCAUUUCCUAGUUAUUUACUAGUCAUGUCUCGUCUUUGCCAAUUACCUAUGUUCCAGCGCAAAAGGAGAAAUUGUUUGAAAUCGAACAGCAAUUGAAGAAAAUUGUGGCCGCUUAGAAGCGUAGAAUGCUAAAUGAGAAAGCAGCCCAGUAAUAAGAGGUUUGCCUUUUAAUGUUGCUAAAUUUUAUUUUCAUUUGUUUUAUAUAGCUUUUAGAACUUGUCAGAAUGAGUAUAGUACAUUAAAAAUAUGCAAGCUGAAGCAAUUAUAAAGUAAACGGCCAAGAUUCCAGUAUGAAGAAAUGAGGAAAAAGUGAAGAAGCAGCAGGAAGAGUUAGCAAAGGCAUUGACCUUUUACAACAUUUAAUGAGAUGUGGGAUUGAGAUUUGUUUCUUAUAUGUAAUAUCAAUAUUUUCCUGUAGGCUACGAUAAACAUUGGCCUUUUUCUCUGUGUUGGCUUGCAGUUUUAAGUGUCAGAAUCGAACUAAUCAGCUAUUGGAUCGAGUUUCUCGGGCAACAUCCUCAUUUUCAAUGGUAUGCCGGUUUCAAACUUUAAAGAAGAGUAUCUCUGUUUCUGAACCUCUGUUUUUUACUUAGACUUGCAUGAUUUAGAUGCAUUGCAUGAUAUUUAUAUGAUAAUAGUUAUUGUUGCACUAAUGAAGUGGAUGAGAGGUCACAUUGUCGUUCUCUAAGACAUUUGAGAUAAUGUUUGUUAGUUUUUUAAUCUAUUUUGUACUCAAAGAGAUGACAGGAUGAGCACAAAUGUAGAUGUUUUUUCCUUCAUUAGAUAGCAUUAAAGAUGUAAAAGGAUAAAGGAAAGGCUUUGUUACCUUCUGAUUGUGGAGUUAAUGAAUAUUAUGCCCAUGAUCUUCACUGAUUAUCUAGAUUUUCCCAGCCAUGAUCUCACCUAGCAUUUGAUAAAAAUAGAUUUAAAAUACCACCAGACUGACUUUGGUUUCCAAUCCAGCUAGUUCAAAGUUGUGCAUUUUAUUUGAAUUUAUGAUAUUUACUACUUGCACAAAUGUAUUUUAUAUGCAUGUAUGUGUAGUGUAAUGAAUUAUAUUUCUUUCGAGUUGAUUUGUGUGGAGCUUUAUGAUGUUGGAAAUUUGUCUUGUGUGUGAUUAUAGAUGGCACUGUACUGGUACAUUUGAUGUACGCAAUAGAACUGGAGGUUGUUUUGGAACCAUGAGGUUCCAUGCUGCGCUGGCUCAUGGAGCCAACAAUGGCAUUGACAUUGCUUGUAGGUUCUUGUAGCCCAUCAGGG
rnacentral:lncRNA from 1 species